rnacentral:sRNA from 1 species
AUGGCCUGGUGGCCGUGGUCCAGCGUAGG